GAAGGUAGGAGGAGGGGAGGGUUUAAGGGGAAAGAGAAUGAGUUCUGUUUUGGACAUAACUGAGUUUAAGCUGUCUACAGGAUAUUCAGUUUGAGGUGUCUGAAAGGCAGCUGAAGAUGUCAGUUUAGAGGUCAGCAGAGAAACUGAAAUAGGAAAGGUAGAUUUAAGAAUCGUCAGCACAGAGAUGAUAAUUAAAUCCAUAGGAAGUGAUGAAGUGAAGGGAAUGAGUGGUAAGAAUGGAAGAGUGAGCUUCUAAGGCAGAGGGAGAAGGAUUGCCUGGUGGCAGUGAGGGCCCGGUAGAGGUGUGUAACUAACUUGUAGUGAACCCAAUCAGAACCAUGGUCUGAUUUUCUCCACCUGGGCAGGAUUGUAAAUAUGAGGGGCCAGGGAGGGACUCAAGAGAAGAGAACAAUGUAGAUUUGAACUGAUUCACCAAGGGUCGCUAUGGGGAGAGAGGAGAGCCUGGGAGAGAGCUGAGGAGUCAAAGACCAGGAGGUGACAUACCAGUAAAGAGCAGGGUUUGGUAAGGGAAGGCAGAUGGAGAGGGGGAAGGAUUGUCUGGCAGCUGUGAGGGCCCUUCCAGGUUGUGUAACAUAAAUUUGUAGAGAACUCGGGCAGGAUGGGAUUCUCUCCAUCUGCAUUUAGCAGCAGGUGUGAAGGUGACACAGUGGGAGUGAUCCAAGGCUGAGGCUUGUCUGGGCGGAACCAGUGGUGCGAUAGGGAUCGAGGGAUUCUAGAAAGGAGGACAGUGUCCAGUUGAAUUGGUUUGCCAAGGAAUCAAAAUGGUGAGAAGAGGAGAGAGUGGUCAGCGCAGGGGAGGUGGCCUGGGAGAGAAUUGAGGGGGUCAAGGGUUUAGAGGCCAUCACGUGGAUGAAGAGCGGGGCUGUGUAAGGGAACAUGGAGGAGAAGGGAAAAGCCCAUAGAUCAUGCUCGGCUGUAGGAGAUUCCGGAAUUCCAGACAAUGGAGGUGAGUAACCAUGGAGGGGGAUGCCAAGAUCCAGGGCUUGGCCAUCUUUGGGUGUGGCCGGGGGGGUGGUGGAGGAGUUGAGCCAGGUCUCCACCCGAAGUUGUGCACUACUGUAAGCCGCCCAGCCAGGAUUCGAAUCCGGGUCAUCUGCCUCCAAAUGCAGGACUCUCUGUCCUUCCUGCCUCUUUGUGCCUUCCCUACUGGCCUUCACCUUUUUCUGUCGCAAACUGGACUCUUCAUUGAAGCCAUCAAAAGCGUGAGAGGACAGUGUUUAAGUGUCGCGUUAAUUGGAGUGAUAGUUACAGGGAGGAUGAGGAUCUCUAGACAGGCAAUUCUUUUCUCGGGGGGAGGGGGCUGACCAGGCUUCCUUCCUGGGUGUAGCCUGAUGUGACUGAGAGGCUGGCCUUGGGGGAGAGACCCUUCCCCAGCCCCUCCCCCCUCCCUGGCAGCUCCACAGGACGCCCAGCGGUGCCUCAGUGUGGCGUUGGGGACCACCUGGUGAGAAUCCCAGCAGUUAUCAUAGGCUCCUGCCUCUUUUGACAUUUUAUAAAAUAAAUUCCUUUGAAUCACAGGGAUAACAACGAUCACACUUGAAGCUUUGCAAAGUGCUUUACAGAUAGCCGAUUUUAUCCUGGACGACUCUGAGAGCCUGUCCACAUUCCCACGAUGCCCUGGGUACCCAAGGGGCUCCUGCCAAGGAGAAGCCAGGAGGCCAGUCCUGGGCGGUAACAUCAGCCCCAGACGAGGACGUCCAGGACCAGCCCUUCCGGAGAGAAAAGCCGAGGGAUCCCUGCUAGCUUGAGAAGGGAUGGCCUGUCUGGUGCCCUGCUCUGACAGCAGCUUGCAUUUUAUCACCUUCAAGGCAUUUCUUCCUUAAUUAACAGACCAGAUAAAGAGCUUCCUCUCAGACGAAUGUACCUGUUUGAAGGCAGAACAGUGAAUGAAUUGACGGCAGCUUCAGAGUGCUACAGUCCAUCAGCUUGUCUACACGUGACUGUGUUUAGAGUUUUGAAGUUUACGACUGAGAAUUGUAAAUCAAAUAAUUGUGUGGGGACUAUGGCUGUUUGGUUCAUGCCUGACAGAAGGAUGGAUUUCUUUAUUGUUACCUCCUAAGGUAAAGAGGAACCAGGAGGCUCUGACUCUAGGUAGACUGAGUGAAAAAACGAGGCACCAAGCAAGAAUUUUUGACGCCAUAGGGAGAAGCAGGCAAGUGAGCUGAAUGCAGAAACAGUCACAGGAAACAGAGACCAGAAGUCGAGGAAAGCUUCCAGCAGACCCAGCUAACUCCUCAGCUGGUCUGAUGGGAGCCUGCUGAUCGGGAGAGAGGCAUUACUUUGCUAGAGGAAGGCUAGAUUCCCACCCAUUGGACUCUGAGCUUCUUGAGAGCAGAGAUUGAUAGGGUUUUGUUUUGUUUUUUUGCCUUUCUUUGUCUCUCCAGUGCACAGUACCUGACAGGGGUAGGUACUUAAUAAAUGAUUGUUGACUGAGUAGCCCUGGAGAUCACAAUGCCCUCAAAAUGUAGGGUUAUGCAUCAUGUCACAAGUCUGGAAGCUUGGGAGGAAUUCUGACCCAGGCCCCACUGACCAGCACACUCCACCACCCACCCAGCCUUCCAUUGCCUUGCUCCCACCCCGGCCACCCAGAGGAGGAGCAGCUGCAGCAGCAGCAGAGUGGGAACAACCCAGACCCCACCCGGCACUCUCUGCAACACCCCUUGGAGACACACACCACUCCCCAGUGUCUGCUCUUGAUGCUGUAACCCUAAUUCUAACGCAAACUAACCCAGCUCCCACCUCCCUUUCUCUCAUCCUAAUUCUUUUAAGCUGACCUCACCCACCCCUUAUACUGUGCCCUCUGAAAUUCCUAUUCCAUAAGGAACACAUGUCCCUCCAUCCUGGUCCUUCCAUCUACUAGAUCCACGCUUCUGGCCAUCCUCUCCAAGUAAGGGAUGAAUCUUUUCUGCCAAUCCUCAAGAAACUGGCCCCUAGAAGGGACGUUGGAAUAAGGACAUACAGUUUGAAAUCCCCAUACAUAGUGGGUGAUGUGGGACUGGAGCUCAAAAGAGACUGGGGAUGGGUAUAUAGAUUUGGAAGCCAUCUUCAGAGAGAUGGUAGUUAACCUCAUGGAAGCUACUGAGGUUAUCAAAUGGGAGUGUAGCAGGAGAAGAGAAGAAGGUCUAGGACAGUCAGUCAGUCAGUCAAUAAACAUUUCUUAAGCAUCCGCUAUGUGCCAGACAGGGAGCCUUUAAGCACUGGGUGAAAGAAAAGAGGUGAAAGAUAAUCCAUGCUCUCAAGGAGUUAAUCAUCUAAUGGAGGAGGCAACAGGCACGUAAAUAUGUAUGGUCAGUAUAGAGGAUAAAUAGGACAGACCCUUGGGGGCACAGCCACAGGUAGAGGGAGAAAUAUGCAUGAUGAGCCAGCAAAGGAGAUGGAAGGAUGGCUGGGAGAGAGGUGUGGCCAAGGGAAAUGGGUCUAGAGUGUUCAGGGCUUGGUGGGGGGUGAGAGUGGGAAUAAGGAGAAGAGGCAGAGAGGCCAAGGGAGAUGAGCUGAGAAAAGGUCAUUCAAUUCAGUGCUUAGGAGGAUGUUGGUAACUGGGGAGAGGGAAGGUUUUCAGUAAAGUGGUGAGGGGAGAAGCCAGAGGAAGUAGAGGCAGUAGGAUUCUUGUUAGAUGUUUGACUAUGAAAGGAAGAGAUGCAACCCAGGGCACCAUGUUUUCAGGUGGUGGGGAAGAAAACCAAUAGAGUGUGAGAGAUGGAAGAGAUGGUGUAGGGAAUGAAAAAGGGGACAAGAAGGUAUGGAAGAGAGAGGAGGGUCAGGGCCAGGGUUAGGCAUAGAUAAUAGACUGGAGAUAAAUUUAAGGUAGUGGUUAGGCUUUGAGAUGGGGUUUGUCUAGAGAUAGAUAGGAGGUUAGGAACAGGGAGAGGUCAUAGAUCUUGGGCUAGAAGGGUCCAUCACUUGGUUCAGCCCUUUCACUUCAUUCAUGUGCAGAGGGAAGUCCAGAGGUGCAGAUGAGGGAGAGGAGGGCAUAAGCACCUACUAUGUGCCAGGACCUGUGAGAAUCCGCUUUACAAAUAGGAUCUCAUCCGAUCUUCUAAAGGACUCAGCCAGAGUCAUCCAGGGAGUCAUGAGUCAGGCUGGGAUCUGAGCCCAGGACUGUCUCUGGAUGCGGCAAGGAAUCUAGACAGUCUCCAAGGACCAACAUUGGGAUGGAUCGUAUGGCUUUUCUCUGAGCACCAGCCCAGUGAAAUCAGGAGCGCUGCUAUAGCAGACAGUACCUCUUCCUGUCCUAAGUUACAAGGGUUGCUGUCAGUGUUUGUGGCGGAAGCCUGCUCCCUGAGGGACUUCCUACCUUUUCCAACUUUGCAGGCCCUCUGUCGCCUUCGUGGAUAGAGGAUAUGCAGUGCUUUGGCAUUCCAGCACUGAUGCCCCCUCCAAAAAUCCCCUUCCAGCCUCCUGUUCUGCUUCUUACCUUACUUGGGGUAGGUCAGUAUGGUGAAUCUUCACCCCUGACCCUAAACUCCUCCUGAGCAAAGCAAAAACUCUGCACCGAUUUGUCUGGAGGGAAACAUUGGCCCCUGGAAACAUGGGGUUAGUCAGAUUUCCCAUCUCAGGCUGCUUGGAAGUCCCUGCUCAGUAGCUCCUCCGCCCUCAUCCGCCCUCCCCAGUGAUAAGUAAUCUCCUUUUUGACUCAGCAGUCUGAUGACUAAAGGUCAGCGGAGCUGGAGGAUGGCUUUCCAUAUCUGCAGUCAUGGGGUGGCUGGGCAGGGAAGGCAACAAAGGGAAAAUUAGCCCUUCUUGGGAAAAGGGCUGAGAAAGUAGAGGAAGGUCAGAGAGGUCUGCCCAGGAAGGCCAGGGAAGGCUUCACGACCCCUUUAGCCAGACUUGGGAGGAGGAAGUGGAACUCAGCCAAGCCAGAGCACCUCGGGAGCCCAUCCUCAGCAUGUAUAAGAGUGGGGGCAAACAAGAGUGCUGGGAUAGGGCCAAUGGUCUCUGGCCGUCUUCUGAGAUCCCUCUCCAAGAGGCUGGAAGUCAAGAAGGAGGACGCUGUGUGCUUGGGCACUCCACCCCUCCAUCCUGCUCCUCCCACCCUCCACAUAGUAGGGGUUUAAUGAAUGCUCAACUGAUUGAUUGAUUGGGGAUGCAACCUGGUCUCCUUCUCAGAACAUCAUCUUCCAAUCUUUGAUUUUUCAUCAGGAGUCUUUCUCGACUAUGUGGACUGAUUUUUCUUGAUAACUAAGGCUAUGGGUAGAAUAGUGUAGAAGAACUUUGGAGGAGGACUUGGUUUAAAUCUCUGUUGAUUAUCUCCAAUUUAUCCUAUGUCCAUUUUGUUUCUGUAUAACUGUUUGCGUGACGUCUCACCCAUUAGACUAUGAGCUCCUUGAGAGCAAGGACCAUCUUUUGCCUCUCUUUCUGUCCCCAGUGCUUAGCACAGUGUCUAGCCCACAUUAGGUGCUGAAUAAGUGGUGCUUGUUGGUGGACUGACUGAAUCCCACUUCUGGGACUUGGGACUAUGGACAAGCCAAUGUCUUUGAGCCCUAGUCUCAUUAUCUGUAAAGUGGAGGUAAUAAAGUCACCUAUCUUAUAGCUAUACAGAUAAAAUGAGAUCAUUUGUGUAAAGAGCUUUGCAAACCUUCAAUGCUAUGUAAAUGUGAAUUAUUAUUAGUUUUCAUUGCUUGCCAUUGAAAGUCUGAAGUUUAACCACUACAUUUCCUAGUGAGUUAAAUUUCUGAUUUCUCUCUUUUGGUAGCCUGCCGAUUUUAUUGAGCUGUAUCUUGCCCUCUGUUUCCAAUACUUCUGUUCAGUUUUUUUGUAUUGUUCCCUGCUGCAUGAUAUUCAGAAAUUUUGAUUCAUAGUGCCUUUCUGGCAUACCUAUGAUCCUCAAAUAAGCUUACUUCAAAGUCAGUCACUAUGACUUGUAUAGACUCAAUAUGUUCCUCCAGGAUUUCUUUUGAUUCUAUUCUAAUUAAAUUUCACUUAUGGUUUUUUUUUAGUAACAAAAAUUCUCUUCUUUUUCAGAUCCUAUGCUGUUUUAGAGUCUUCUUAAUGACUCUCUAGUUGUCUACUCUCUUCUUUUUCUUUUAUGUUUCUUUGAGAAUUCUAAUUUCUGCACCAAUUUUCAUCUUUAUUUCUUUUAAUUAUUUCCUUAAUUAAGGAGUUUCUUCCUAUUCCUUCUGGGGAUUAUCUCUUUCACGAUGAUGUUUUCAAGUCACUCUCCCUGUGUGUAGUAUUUACUCACUGUGUUCUGUGUGCUUGUAGAUUGUUUGCUUUUCCGCCUCCUUUGAUGUAUCUCACUAUUAUUUUAUCUGAGCGGAAUAGGGGAGGGUGGACUUUUAUACAACCUUUCUCUCUGAAGGCUUCUUGUUUGUACUUUCUAUUCUGUCCAAAAAGGCAUCAAAUAAAAUCCUUGGU